UACGUAGGGUGCAAGCGUUGUCCGGAAUUAUUGGGCGUAAAGAGCUCGUAGGCGGUCUGUCACGUCGGCUGUGAAAACCCGAGGCUCAACCUCGGGCCUGCAGUCGAUACGGGCAAACUAGAGUACUGCAGGGGAGACUGGAAUUCCUGGUGUAGCGGUGAAAUGCGCAGAUAUCAGGAGGAACACCGGUGGCGAAGGCGGGUCUCUGGGCAGUAACUGACGCUGAGGCGCGAAAGCGUGGGGAGCAAACAGG
rnacentral:rRNA from 1 species